rnacentral:lncRNA from 1 species
GGGGAGGGUACUUAUAGAAUUAUGUUCAAAACCUUAUAGACCGGUAUGAAAAGUGUUUGUGACAAUUUUGGCAUAAAUGGAGAUGUUAACGAUGCACAAAUGUGUUGCUUUUUGAUGAUGAUAUUCUAUUAAUGGUGGAUAGUAUAUUGAGUGUCUGUGGUAGUUGUAUGUUCAGUGAUUAGUUGGAAGGGCAUGUGUGAGAGGGAGAGUUGCUUUGUGAGAGUGAGUGUAAUGCUUGGUCAAACAAAUACAGUUACAAAGAAAACUAGUGAGAGCAAUGAAAAUGGAGUGAAAGAGAGGUUGUACUUUGUUCUAUGGCAUCUCACUUUGUAUGCUUAACUGAAUAGAUGCUUAAAUUGUCCUAACAACUAUGAACUUAAACUAUCCUAACAAGUUUAGAACGGUUAUACCUACCUAAUAGAAAACCGACACUACAAAAAGUAAAUNAAAGUACAAAUAUGAUAAAGUAGAACCUAAAAAUANUAAGUUAAAUAGGCAAAAUGUGGUAAGAAUGAAAUCUGUAUUGAAGUAGAUAUUCAAAAUGUAAAAUAACCAUGUAGACAACAUUUNAAAGAUCAAAGAAACAUAAAAAUGAAGUCACUCUUAGAAAAUAAGAACAAAAGCAAAAUUUGACCUAAAAAGUGAAGUUUUAAGGUCAAAAAUGGUCA